rnacentral:rRNA from 1 species
ACAUGCAAGUCGAGCGAAUGGAUUAAGAGCUUGCUCUUAUGAAGUUAGCGGCGGACGGGUGAGUAACACGUGGGUAACCUGCCCAUAAGACUGGGAUAACUCCGGGAAACCGGGGCUAAUACCGGAUAACAUUUUGAACNGCAUGGUUCGAAAUUGAAAGGCGGCUUCGGCUGUCACUUAUGGAUGGACCCGCGUCGCAUUAGCUAGUUGGUGAGGUAACGGCUCACCAAGGCNACGAUGCGUAGCCGACCUGAGAGGGUGAUCGGCCACACUGGGACUGAGACACGGCCCAGACUCCUACGGGAGGCAGCAGUAGGGAAUCUUCCGCAAUGGACGAAAGUCUGACGGAGCAACGCCGCGUGAGUGAUGAAGGCUUUCGGGUCGUAAAACUCUGUUGUUAGGGAAGAACAAGUGCUAGUUGAAUAAGCUGGCACCUUGACGGUACCUAACCAGAAAGCCACGGCUAACUACGUGCCAGCAGCCGCGGUAAUACGUAGGUGGCAAGCGUUAUCCGGAAUUAUUGGGCGUAAAGCGCGCGCAGGUGGUUUCUUAAGUCUGAUGUGAAAGCCCACGGCUCAACCGUGGAGGGUCAUUGGAAACUGGGAGACUUGAGUGCAGAAGAGGAAAGUGGAAUUCCAUGUGUAGCGGUGAAAUGCGUAGAGAUAUGGAGGAACACCAGUGGCGAA